rnacentral:rRNA from 1 species
AACGAACGCUGGCGGCAUGCCUAACACAUGCAAGUCGAACGAGACCUUCGGGUCUAGUGGCGCACGGUGCGUAACGCGUGGGAACCUGCCUUUAGGUUCGGAAUAACUCAGAGAAAUUUGAGCUAAUACCGGAUAAUGUCUUCGGACCAAAGAUUUAUCGCCUUUAGAUGGGCCCGCGUUGGAUUAGCUAGUAGGUGAGGUAAUGGCUCACCUAGGCGAUGAUCCGUAACUGGUCUGAGAGGAUGAUCAGUCACACUGGAACUGAGACACGGUCCAGACUCUACGGGAGGCAGCAGUGGGAAUAUUGGACAAUGGGCGAAAGCCUGAUCCAGCCAUGCCGCGUGUGGGAAGAAGGUCUUCGGAUUGUAAAGCACUUUAAGUUGGGAGAAGGGCAGUAAGUUAAUACCUUGCUGUUUGACGUUACCAACAGAAUAAGUACCGGCUAACUUCGUGCCAGCAGCCGCGGUAAUGUGAC